GUGCUAACUUCAGAGGCACAUUAAAGAUUGAAACAAUAUGGAGAUUUACAAGACCCAUGCACAAGGAUAACAUGAAUAUCAUGAAGUAUCCCGUUUUU
ensembl:snRNA U6 U6 spliceosomal RNA